CCUACGGGAGGCAGCAGUGGGGAAUAUUGGGCAAUGGGCGCAAGCCUGACCCAGCAACGCCGCGUGAAGGAAGAAGGCUUUCGGGUUGUAAACUUCUUUUGUCAGGGACGCAGCAAGUGACGGUACCUGACGAAUAAGCCACGGCUAACUACGUGCCAGCAGCCGCGGUAAUACGUAGGUGGCAAGCGUUAUCCGGAUGUAUUGGGUGUAAAGGGCGUGUAGGCGGGAAUGAAAGUCAGAUGGGAAAACUAUGGGCUCAACCCAUAGCCUGCAUUUGAAACUGUAUUUCUUGAGUGCUGGAGAGGCAAUCGGAAUUCCGUGUGUAGCGGUGGAAUGCGUAGAUAUACGGAGGAACACCAGUGGCGAAGGCGGAUUGCUGGACAGUAACUGACGCUGAGGCGCGAAAGCGUGGGGAGCAAACAGGAUUAGAUACCCCAGUAGUC
rnacentral:rRNA from 1 species